GUAGGUGGCAAGCGUUGUCCGGAAUUAUUGGGCGUAAAGCGCGCGCAGGUGGUUCUUUAAGUCUGAUGUGAAAGCCCCCGGGCUCAACCGGGGAGGGUCAUUGGAAACUGGGGAACUUGAGUGCAGGAGAGGAAAGUGGAAUUCCACGUGUAGCGGUGAAAUGCGUAGAUAUGUGGAGGAACACCAGUGGCGAAGGCGACUUUCUGGCCUGUAACUGACACUGAGGCGCGAAAGCGUGGGGAGCAAACAGGAUUAGAUACCCUGGUAGUCCACGCCGUAAACGAUGAGUGCUAAGUGUUGGGGGGUUUCCGCCCCUCAGUGCUGCAGCUAACGCAUUAAGCACUCCGCCUGGGGAGUACGGUCGCAAGGACUG
rnacentral:rRNA from 1 species